rnacentral:rRNA from 1 species
CGGACGGGUGAGUAACGCGUGAGAAUCUGCCAAAAGGACUGGGACAACAGCUGGAAACGGCUGCUAAUACCGGAUAUGCCAGAAAGUGAAAUGGGUAAAACCGCCUUUUGAUGAGCUCGCGUCCGAUUAGCUAGUUGGUGGGGUAAAAGCCUACCAAGGCGACGAUCGGUAACUGGUCUGAGAGGAUGACCAGUCACACUGGGACUGAGACACGGCCCAGACUCCUACGGGAGGCAGCAGUGGGGAAUUUUCCGCAAUGGGCGAAAGCCUGACGGAGCAAUACCGCGUGAGGGAGGAAGGCUCUUGGGUUGUAAACCUCUUUUCUCAGGGAAGAACACAAUGACGGUACCUGAGGAAUCAGCAUCGGCUAACUCCGUGCCAGCAGCCGCGGUAAUACGGAGGAUGCAAGCGUUAUCCGGAAUGAUUGGGCGUAAAGCGUCCGCAGGUGGCUUUGCAAGUCUGCUGUCAAAGCUCAGGGCUUAACCCUGGAUCGGCGGUGGAAACUGAAAGGCUAGAGUGUGGUAGGGGCAGAGGGAAUUCCCAGUGUAGCGGUGAAAUGCGUAGAGAUUGGGAAGAACACCAGUGGCGAAAGCGCUCUGCUAGACCGCAACUGACACUCAUGGACGAAAGCUAGGGGAGCGAAUGGGAUUAGAUACC